GGACAAUCGGCUUUCCUGUUUAUUUAAGAUCUGUCCUCAUUAUCGCAGAGGAUGGAAAGUCUGCUUAAGUUAUAAGACAUCACUAGCCUGUUAUCAUCAGCGGGGCAUAUUUCCUUAACUGGAGGGAUCACUGGCUUGGAUAUCCAACCUUACAAAAAUAUAAGUACAAUAGAUCAUUCUCUUCCCAAAAAUGAAAUAUAGGGAGUGGACCAAGUCCUGUCUGGAAGAAGUGAUUGUGCUUGCUAGACCUGUCGUGCAGUCAGGGUUCUGAGAGAUGGAUUAGGUGGAGGGAGGAGAACUUGAAGGAACAGAACCUCUGUCUCCAUUUCUCUAACAGCUUCAUCAUGGCAGAAGAGACCCUGUCCUUUGAAGAAGGUUUUGAAUCCUUUUGAGAGCUCUGAAAUAAUGCAUCCCACAAAUAUGCAACCAAAAAUCGAAAAGGAGCAAGAUGUCGCUGUUCUCUCUGGUGGGAAAGGACCCUAGGCUUGGGCAGGCCUCUGACAGAGGUCAUUUGUACUUCUGAGAGACAGGUGUUCUGUCUCCAGUGCUCAUUCCUCGCCUAAGAAAUACCCAGGUCCUUUGAACAAAGUGAGUUUGGAGUGAUUACGGUACGUCCCUACUUACAGAUUCUCACAUAUUUCUUGUUAUUCUAGUUGAGUACUCCUUUCAGACAGAGGUUGCCAAUAAAGUUUAUUGUAGGAACUAAGUGUCA
ensembl:lncRNA